rnacentral:rRNA from 1 species
CCCUUAGAUGUCCUGGGCCGCACGCGCGCUACACUGACAUGUUCAACAAGCCUCCUAGUUCGACAGGAUUUGGGAAAUCUUUGAACGCAUGUCGUGAUAGGGAUAGAUCAUUGCAAUUAUUGAUCUUGAACGAGGAAUUCCUAGUAAACGCGAGUCAUCAGCUCGCAUUGAUUACGUCCCUGCCCUUUGUACACACCGCCCGUCGCUCCUACCGAUCGAAGAGUUAGGUGAAUUGUUUUGAUCGAUAAGAUUUGACUAUGGUCAACUCUCGUUGUGAAAUUCUGUGAAUCUGACUGUUUAGAGGAAGGAAAAGUCGUAACA